AGGAAAGGUGUGGAGGACAGCAGGAGGAGGGAGAAGGUGAGCCGGAGAGGUAGAGAGUGAGAGAGUCUCUGCAUUUCAAGUGCGUAACAGUGACCUUAGAAUCUCCCUCUAUGUCGUUCACUCUCUCGCUCACUCUGCAUUAAAGUACAAUGCUGCAGCUCUUCAGACCUUUAUCGUCCCGGGAACAACUAAAAGGGUGUCUGCGGGAGGAUGCACCCCUCCCUGCCUCUGUUUCUCUCUUCCUCUCUCUUUUUCUAUAACUUUAUGAUGCGUGGACGGUGAACACUGAUGCUGAGGCCUGAGAGCGGAGGAGAAGUUUGGACUUGUGGGCAGGACGGGCUUCACAGGACUGGGUUGCCCUUUAAAAUUUCUUUGAAUUUAAGAGCGAAGGCUUCUCAUAUUAUGGUCAUUUACCAGGUCCAGUUCAUGGCAAACUUGCUGGGGUCCAGUUUGUAGCAUGAAGUGAAUGCACAGGGGAUUCUGACAUCAGUCCCAUUGAGAGUGAGGAUCUGUGGUGGCACCAGCACAUCCAUGGAAUUCACUGGACAGGCUAUGAGAGAUGAAGAUAUACAUGUCUAUGACAUCUGAUUGAACAGAAGAAAGAAAGUCAUUCAGGUUUGGAACGGCAAGAGGAUGAGUAAAUGAUGGCUAUCCCUUUAAGGAACGGAGGAGGUCGGUCAAAUGAACGCAGUACGCUUUCCACAAACAGUAAAACGAAUCUCUUUCGCCCUCUAGUGUAUCAUUUGAUGUCAGCGUUUUCCUCAAGAGAACAGAGAGAGACAUCGUGUUAAAUUAAGUUUCCGGUCCUGCAAGGCCCUCCAUUCUAGACAUUUUCCUUGCACAACCCCACCCAUCCCUCCC
ensembl:lncRNA